rnacentral:rRNA from 1 species
GAUGAACGCUAGCUACAGGCUUAACACAUGCAAGUCGAGGGGCAGCAUGAGGUCAGCUUGCUGACUUUGAUGGCGACCGGCGCACGGGUGAGUAACGCGUAUCCAACCUGCCCAUAACUAAGGGAUAAUCCGUAGAGAUGCGGUCUAAUACCUUAUGUUGUCCGAGGAAGACAUCUGAUUCGGACGAAAGAUUUAUCGGUUAUGGAUGGGGAUGCGUCUGAUUAGCUUGUUGGCGGGGUAACGGCCCACCAAGGCGACGAUCAGUAGGGGUUCUGAGAGGAAGGUCCCCCACAUUGGAACUGAGACACGGUCCAAACUCCUACGGGAGGCAGCAGUGAGGAAUAUUGGUCAAUGGACGAGAGUCUGAACCAGCCAAGUAGCGUGCAGGAUGACGGCCCUAUGGGUUGUAAACUGCUUUUAUACGGGGAUAAAAGGUGUCACGUGUGACAUUUUGCAGGUACCGUAUGAAUAAGGACCGGCUAAUUCCGUGCC